rnacentral:rRNA from 1 species
AUUGAACGCUGGCGGCAUGCCUUACACAUGCAAGUCGAACGGUAACGCGCGGCAACCUGGCGACGAGUGGCGAACGGGUGAGCAAUGCAUCGGAACGUGCCCAGUAGUGGGGGAUAACUGCUCGAAAGAGCAGCUAAUACCGCAUACGACCGGCGGGUGAAAGCGGGGGAUCGCAAGACCUCGCGCUAUUGGAGCGGCCGAUGUCAGAUUAGGUAGUGGGUGGGGUAAAGGCCCACCAAGCCAACGAUCUGUAGCGGGUCUGAGAGGACGACCAGCCACACUGGGACUGAGACACGGCCCAGACUCCUACGGGAGGCAGCAGUGGGGAAUUUUGGACAAUGGACGCAAGUCUGAUCCAGCCAUGCCGCGUGCGGGAAGAAGGCCUUCGGGUUGUAAACCGCUUUUGUCAGGGAAGAAACGCUCUGGGUUAAUACCUCGGGGUAAUGACGGUACCUGAAGAAUAAGCACCGGCUAACUACGUGCCAGCCGCCGCAGUAACAC